GACAGAGGGUGCAAACGUUGUUCGGAAUUACUGGGCGUAAAGCGUGCGCAGGCGGUUUUGUAAGUCUGUCGUGAAAGCCCCGGGCUUAACCUGGGAAUUGCGAUGGAGACUGCAAGGCUUGAAUCUGGCAGAGGGGGGUAGAAUUCCACGUGUAGCAGUGAAAUGCGUAGAGAUGUGGAGGAACACCGAUGGCGAAGGCAGCCCCCUGGGUCAAGAUUGACGCUCAUGCACGAAAGCGUGGGGAGCAAACAGG
rnacentral:rRNA from 1 species